GUGAGAAAAAGCCAGGUGGCACUUUGAGUGGUUCUCCUGGAAAUCUAAGUUAUGUCAUCAAGUUUAUUAGGAAGACCACUCUGGAACCAGUGUGAAGACCUGACUUUCCAGGAGAAGCACUAGAGAUGUUUCCAGACUGACUAUUGCACCUUUCCUUCACAGUUUGCUGGAUCCCCAUCUUGUAGUUCAAGACUUGAGGGAAGGAAGUAACUGCAGAUGUGGUGGAAACAGCAAGAAAACUAGAAUUAGAAAUAGAGCCUGAAGAUGGGACUGAAUUAUUGUGAUCUCAUGAUGAAACUUGAACAGAUGAGAAAUUGCUUCAUAUGAAUGAACAAAGAAAGUGAUUUCAUGUGAUGGACUCUACUCCUGGUGAAGAUGCUUUGAAAAUUGUUGAAGUGACAGCAAAGGAUUUAGAAUAUACAUAAACUUAAUUGAUAAGGCAGUGGCAGAGUUUGAGAAGAUUGACUCAAUUUUGAAAGAAGUUCUACUGAGAGUAAAAUGCUAUCAAGCAGCAUAGCAUGUUACAGAGAAAUCGUUCAUGAAAGAGUCAACUGAUGCAGCAAACUUCAUUGUUGUCUUACUUUAGGAAAUUGCUACAACCA